GAUGAAGAACGCAGCGAAAUGCGAUAAGUAAUGUGAAUUGCAGAAUUCAGUGAAUCAUCGAAUCUUUGAACGCACCUUGCGCCCUUUGGCUAUUCCGAAGGGCAUGCCUGUUUGAGUAUCAUGAACACCUCAACUCUCAUGGCCUGCCAUGAUGAGCUUGGACUUUGGGGGUCUUGCCGGCCUAGUGUCGGCUCCUCUCAAACGGAUCAGCUUGCCAGUGUUUGGUGGCGUCACAGGUGUGAUAACUAUCUACGCUUGUGGUCCCCCCCAUGUAACCUUCAGCGAUGGGGGUUUGCUGGAGCUCACAGAUGUCUCUCCUCGACGAGGACAGCUUUUUGAACGUUUGAUCUCAAAUCAGGUAGGACUACCCGCUGAACUUAAGCAUAUCAAUAAGCGGAGGA
rnacentral:misc_RNA from 1 species